UUUACUUGAGGAUUUGUUGUAAAGUACAGAUAUGAGACUAAUGUUUAAGGAAAACUAAGUAUUUUUGUUAUUGUUUGGUUAUUAAUAGCAAAAGUGUUGCUCGCAUCCUGAUGACUUUGUAAAAGAAGAAGCGUGGCUAAAGUUAUUUCAAAGUUCGCAACUUUUGACGUCCGAUGAUAGCUUUUUUGUAGUGAAGAAUGCUGGCUGUUUCUUGCACUGCUGGGUUUGUUGUGGUUAGCUCGAUCGGCUAGAACACAGAUGGAUUAAGUUCGCGUGAAUAUCAAUUCUUUUGUAGCAUGUUUCUUACGACGGUUAAAAAGAGAAGAAGUACCUAAAGAUUGCUGCAUUUUGGUGAAGUGCUGCAUUUUGAUACUUGUCUCGUGAUACCAAAACAGAGAUCGAAACCAGGAAUCACCCAAAUGAACCGAGUUAAAUUGAAGUAAAUAACAGAUGAAAAGACUUUAUGGUUUUUCCCAAAGGUUAAACCAGAGUUUCCCCCAAUAGAGUUGAUACUGCUGUUUGUCAAUUGAUGAUGCCUAAUAAAUCGGUUGCUGCUCGGAGACCAAGACUUCUAAAAUCUGCCAUAUCAGCACUGAGU